rnacentral:rRNA from 1 species
UACAGAGGAGCCAAGCGUUGUUCGGAUUGACUGGGCGUAAAGCGCACGCAGGCGGAUGCGCGCGUGGGGUGUGAAAUCUGGCCGCUUAACGGCCAGGCGCCAUCCCAUACGGCGCGUCUGGAGUGAUGCAGAGGUCGAUGGAAUUGCCGGUGUAGUGGUGAAAUGCGUGGAGAUCGGCAGGAACACCCAGGGGGAAACCAGUCGACUGGGCAUCUACUGACGCUGAGGUGCGAGAGCGUGGGGAGCGAACCGG